rnacentral:rRNA from 2 species
GCAACUUGGAGAAGUGAUAAGUCUUAGUUUGUUAUUAAUGCUUUCGGGCAUAUAAUAACUAUAAGAUUAAAUUAGUAUUGAAUGAAACUUUGUUUAUAUAUCGAUAAUGACGGUAUAUAUAUUAUGUCUUGACCAAUUACGUGCCAGCAGUCGCGGUAAUACGUAAGAGACUAGUGUUAUUCAUCUUAAUUAGGUUUAAAGGGUACCCAAACGGUCAGUAAAACGACUAGAGUUAUAUAGAAGAAGGCAGUACCUUAAGUGUAGAGAUUAAAUGCUGUCAUACUGGAGGGACUCUGAAAAGGCGUAGGCAGCCUUCUAAGUAAUAACUGACGUUGAAGGACGAAGGCAUGGAUCACGAACAGGAUUAGAUACCCAAGUAGUCUUUGCAGUCAAUGAUGAAUGCCAUAGGUUAGAUAAAAAUUUAGUCUAUAAAUGAAAGUGUAAGCAUUUCACCUCAAGAGUAAUGUGGCAACGCAGGAACUGAAAUCACUAGACCG